ACUGGCAGGCUAGAGUCUUGUAGAGGGGGGUAGAAUUCCAGGUGUAGCGGUGAAAUGCGUAGAGAUCUGGAGGAAUACCGGUGGCGAAGGCGGCCCCCUGGACAAAGACUGACGCUCAGGUGCGAAAGCGUGGGGAGCAAACAGGAUUAGAUACCCUGGUAGUCCACGCCGUAAACGAUGUCGAUUUGGAGGUUGUGCCCUUGAGGCGUGGCUUCCGGAGCUAACGCGUUAAAUCGACCGCCUGGGGAGUACGGCCGCAAGGUUAAAACUCAAAUGAAUUGACGGGGGCCCGCACAAGCGGUGGAGCAUGUGGUUUAAUUCGAUGCAACGCGAAGAACCUUACCUGGUCUUGACAUCCACAGAACUUUCCAGAGAUGGAUUGGUGCCUUCGGGAACUGUGAGACAGGUGCUGCAUGGCUGUCGUCAGCUCGUGUUGUGAAAUGUUGGGUUAAGUCCCGCAACGAGCGCAACCCUUAUCCUUUGUUGCCAGCGGUCCGGCCGGGAACUCAAAGGAGA
rnacentral:rRNA from 1 species